rnacentral:rRNA from 1 species
AACGAACGCUGGCGGCAUGCCUAACACAUGCAAGUCGAACGCUUUUGGGGUUUCGGCCUCAAGGGAGUGGCGCACGGGUGAGUAGCGCGUGGGAACCUGCCCUGUUGUGGGGGAUAACCGAGGGAAACUUCGGCUAAUACCGCAUGCGCCGGGAGCGAUCCCGGGAAAGAUUGAUCGCAGCAGGAGGGGCCCGCGUCGGAUUAGCCAGUUGGUGGGGUAACGGCCUACCAAGGCAGCGAUCUAUAGCUGGUCUGAGAGGAUGAUCAGCCACACUGGGACUGAGACACGGCCCAGACUCCUACGGGAGGCAGCAGUGAGGAAUAUUGGACAAUGGGCGCAAGCCUGAUCCAGCCAUGCCGCGUGAGUGAAGAAGGCCUCGGUUGUAAGCUCUUCAGAUGUGAAGAUAAUGACGGUAGC